rnacentral:lncRNA from 1 species
AGACCCUCUCCAAGCUUGAGGGUCAUGGCCAUAGUUGGUUCAGGAGGUGUGUUCUUCUAGCUGAGGAACUCAAGAAGAAUGGGAUCUUCUCCUGGGCCAGUCUGAAGGUUUCCAGAGAGGAAUUGAUGGGCUGGGGCCAAAUAUCCACUAAUUGCACUAGUCACUGGACCUGGCAAUGAGGUACUGUUUUUGGCAGACCCCAUAAAAAUCAUGAUUUAUGAGUAAAGGAAGGCAUUAUAUUCACGGCCACACGGGAACUUCUUGUGAGUUGAGGAGCCACCUGAGCUAUCCC